rnacentral:tRNA from 1 species
UCCCUGGUGGCUCAGAGGUUAAAGCGUCUGCCUGCAAUGUGGAAGACCUGGGUUCAAUCCCUGGGUUGGGAA